rnacentral:rRNA from 1 species
CCCUUAGAUGUCCUGGGCCGCACGCGCGUUACACUGAUGCAUUCAACGAGCUUAUAACCUUGGCCGAGAGGCCUGGGCAAUCUUGUUAACGUGCAUCGUGAUAGGGAUAGAUUAUUGAAAUUAUUAAUCUUGAACGAGGAAUUCCUAGUAAACGCAGAUCAUCAAUCUGCAUUGAUUACGUCCCUGCCCUUUGUACACACCGCCCGUCGCACCUACCGAUUGGGUGGUCCGGUGAAGCCUCGGGAUUGUGGUUCUUGCCGCUUUAUUGUGGCGUGACCGCGAGAACUUGUCUAAACCUUAUCAUCUAGAGGAAGGAGAAGUCGUAACA